rnacentral:rRNA from 1 species
UAGGGAAUAUUGGACAAUGGGUGAGAGCCUGAUCCAGCCAUGCCGCGUGCAGGAAGAAGGCGUUAUGCGUUGUAAACUGCUUUUUGCCAGGGGAUAAAAAGACUCUGCGGAGUUUAUUGAAGGUACCUGGUGAAUAAGCCACGGCUAACUACGUGCCAGCAGCCGCGGUAAUACGUAGGUGGCAAGCGUUGUCCGGAUUUAUUGGGUUUAAAGGGUGCGUAGGCGGUUUAUUAAGUCAGUGGUGAAAGACGGUCGCUCAACGAUUGCAGUGCCAUUGAUACUGGUAGACUUGAGUAUGAUUGAGGUAGCUGGAAUGGAUAGUGUAGCGGUGAAAUGCAUAGAUAUUAUCCAGAACACCAAUUGCGUAGGCAAGUUACUAAGUCAUAACUGACGCUGAGGCACGAAAGUGUGGGUAUCAAACAGGAUUAGAUACCCUUGUAGUCCCUGAGCGGGCUGGCAAGGCGCAU